UUCCCUUUCUGACGCUGUGGCCCUUUUAUAUAGUUCCUCAUGUUGUGGUGAUACCCAACAAUAAAAUCAUUUUUGUUGCUAUUUCAUAACUGUAAUUUCGCCUCCUUACCUCCACUAUGAAUUGUAAAUAUUUUGGAAACAGGUUUGCAUGAGGGGUUGCAACCCACAGGUUGAGAACCACUGGUAAGAGGUCUGUAAAAAAUACAUAAGUUGUGUAGUUGGCCAUGCUGAGAGAAACGUGACGCUGAAGCUGAAAAGCACCAGGCAUUUGUUAUAUUGCUCACUACCACAUCAACUUCAAGGUAUAAACUGUCAGCUCAUAAGGCUCUUCUCAUUAAACAUUUAAUGCUGCCUUUUACAUUUUUAGUAGUUUAUUUGUAGUUUAUC
rnacentral:lncRNA from 1 species